CCGGGGAUGGCGACAGGGCCUCUUUCUUUGCUUCUCUCCACAGCUCUUCCCAGCCGGGGGGCUGAGUGCCCUCCCCCUUCUCUCCCUGCCCCUCCCCUUUCUCCCCCCUCACCGCCCAGCGGGGCUUCUAACUGACAGUUGUCGCCGGGCCCCGUCCGUGCACCGCCUCCUUCUGCCCGUGUCCCCCGCAGGUAGAGGGGGGCGGGAGGGGGUGUGAGGGAGAGGAGGAGCCGGAGCCGCCGCUGCGGCCCCCUCCGGGGAGGGGAGAGGAGAACCCCCUUCCUCCUCGCCCCCUCCCAGCCCCCCGCUGGCCCGGGAGGGGGUGGGGCGCCGAGGCCGCGGCGACCCGGCAGGGCCUGGCCGGUGAAGAGCAGGCGGGCGGGGUG
rnacentral:lncRNA from 1 species